ACAUGCAUUUUUCUCAGGGUGAUGGUGAAGUUUCAUUCUGUGGGGCCAUUGAAAUGAGCGGAUUUUUAGAGCUUAAGUGAUCUAGAUCAGAAUUGCCAAUUCGAAUCACUCUACUGAGGACGAAGAUCUAGAUCAGAAUUGCCAAUUAGAAUCACUCUACCAAGGGACGAAUUCAGCUUCCAUUUCUGUUUUUUCUUUCUUUUCUUUUUUUUUUCCUUUUUUAAUAGGUUAACUGUGGAAAUGGAGGGUGGUAUGUCAGGUCGAGGUAUCCACCCCCCAACCACCAAAUACCCCAACCCCAUUCCCAUUCCCAUUCCCAUCCCAAAUCUGUUUUUUCAGACACUGCUUCAAACAAAGACCAUAUAAACACGCGUGCACACGCACAAGCACAGAAAUUACAUGGUUACGUACCCAUUAAGUACAAGUUAUUACCGGGAUAACUAACCUUAGAUAAACUUCACAACUAUCAACCAUUGCAAAUCAACUAACACAUAAAUUUUACAAUUAAGAACUGAAACUAGUAGUGUGUACUAUAAUACUAUGUAGCAUUUUGUAGGUAUUUUGCAAAGCAUCUUAACCAUCGAGAACCAAGAUGGGUGAGACAUAAAUAAAGGUGCUGUCAUGGCCAGCAGCCAGUCCAGGUCCACCUGCAUGGCAGUCAUCAAUCACUAUCAUCUGCUAUCUUGGAAGGGACAAUUAAGACGCCAUGUACUAUAUCACUGAAAUGGUAGUAUAGUAACAUAGCAUUGUCUCUUAAGAACAUUCACUCAGUGUCAAGUUCCAUACAACACACUAUGCAAGCUAACUAUGUUGUAUGCACGCUAACUAUGGCAUAGGCCAUGUCAUUAUAAGUUCUAUGGUUCUUUAUCGUUUUCUUUAUAUUAUAGGACAGGUUAGCUGAAAUUCAAACCUCAGACAAUUAGUUUUAUGUUUACUUUUGUUAACAGAGAUUGUGCAAAAUGAGUAUUCUCUGAUCUAUCAAAUUCUGGGUUUUCAACACUAAACAAAUCUUUGUCAUAUAGAUGUGAAAUUAUAAGAGGAGAGAUGCAGAAAUACCUCACUCCAAUGGGUCCCACACCUCUCCAUGUGAACCCCAUCUUCGAGAUUGGCCCUGUUGAACCGAGGUUCUCAGAGUGGCUGGUGUUUGAAGGAAUCAGUGUGGAUGAAAGCGGCAAGCAGCAUUACCUUGAUGCAACAGUGGCUUAUAAGUGAGCUGUUCUGAAUGCCAUACACUAUAUCUCCAAAUUUGGCUACUCCAAAGAGCAGGUCCCCUUUCAAUCACUUCUAGCUCAUAUAACACAGAAAAGAUAAAAAAUAAAAAUAAAAAGACUAAUAAAGCUAUUCUAGCCACAUGAUCAACAAAUGAACAAAUAAAUAUAUUGCAUUCAGCUCUGUAAACUUAAGGAUCAAGAGAUUACUGAAUCCAUGAAAACUAAGUAAAUAUUGCAGAAUAAUGCAGUCUUUUGAGAUAUUGAACAUGAUAAAAACGGUAAUGCACGAUUCCUCCAAAUAAAAGAAAAAAACCAAGUUUGCGCAUAUUUAGAAGGUGAACUCAGUUUUUUGAGGUACUUGUGGUAGCAAGUAUGAAUAAAAAAAGAUAUGCUGAAUGUGAAAUUUCUUUCAAAAACCCAGUUCCCUUCUUGUAAAUCAGGAAAGUCAAUUUCAAAUCUUCAUGCCUUGGUAUUUCCCUAAUGGCUCUGCAAAUUAUACCUGAAUUUUACAGAAUCAGCUUAAGAGAUUGGGUUGUGAAUAUAGACAGGCUUGAAUUGUAUCAGAUAAAACUAGUGAAAUGCUGUGAGAUUUUAUUAAAUAAUCAAACAAAAUGUCAAGUCAUGAAAAUAAUGCGGAUUAAUUUGCCAAUUACUCUUGAAAUGGAUUUCUUUUCUACUCCAUAAAUCUGAACUGGACUCCAUAAAAGCGAUGUGAAGCUCAUUCAGAGCAUUUGGUGGAUUUCAGAAUAAUCUGUCC